CCUCAUGUGCGCCGGCGGGUUUCAAGGAGGAAGCCGAGGAGUCCCAAUUUCUAACAGCCUUUAGCUUCGAAUUCUAAAUCCGGACCUGUUUGGGGCGUCACUUUGAGAGGGUUUCUCUUGCUCCCUCAUUCCCGCGACUACCACUCCCUCCUUCCCAAACUGCCCCCGGGGAUAGAGUGGGGGAGUGCGGGGCGCUCCGAGGCGCGCUCCCACGCGCGCACACCCAGCCCCAGGCUUCCCCUUCCCUCUCUCCACUCCCCACGCCCUGCAGCGAAACGGCCCCAGAAGCCCCUCUCCGAGGCGCGAGUUCGGUUUGGUUCUGGCAGGGGCUUUGCAGCUGUCCGGAAGGUGAAGUCAGCCUUGUGUCCUGAGGAGAAACUGGAGAUGCAGGUCGCUGUGCCCUCCCGCUGCUACGUCGCUGCGCCGGAUCCUGCCAUCCUUCCGCAAGGGGUGAGAGCGGGAACAGCCCUGCCCUGCCUUCCAGGUAUUAUCUAGCCUGGAGGCUGGAGCGCAAGGUAACGCUCCGGGAAGUGGCACUCGGGUCCCCGCACACGGGCGAGUCCUCAGCAGUUCAGUGGACAGACCCGCAGGACGCGGCUGCCAAGUCCGCGAGGCAAGGACCAGGCAUCUUCCCGCGCCUCACUCCAGCCUGCGGACUGUGACUUUCCAUCCCAGUAUCAGACAAGCUCGCGAGUAACUGAACAUCCUUUCCAGUCCAUGGGUGGGGUGUGGAAAGGGCGUAAAACUCCAAAGUGGCUCCUCCGCGGUGAGCGAGCUGCCCCGGGGCUCUGCCUGACUGCAGCGCGAAGCCUGGGAGAACAAACCCAGUUCCCUCCGUCAAGAAAUUUCCAUUUAAGUCCGAGAAAGUCAUAUGAUUGAGAAGUUCAGCAGCGGCGGCGAGGACCCAGUGUCUGGGAAAGAACACCUGGAGGAUGGGGUGUCCAGGACGCCGGCUUUUCGGGGUUCCGACCCCACCCACCUUAUGUUGUAACAUACAAGCUUAGAGACCUGUUGCAAGGAACAACUGACUGGGUCUUCCACCACCCCUGGCACCCGGGUGGCCCAAAGCCUAUGCGCCCUUGGCGGAGAGAGAGGCCACGGUGCCACUGGCCGCAGCCUCUGGCCUUCAGAAACAGUGUAUUACAAAGAAAAGGCAGUUUAAAUCUCACAUUCAGCAUAGGGAAAACUGAAGGGUGCCAGGCUCGGGGACUUCUUCCAACAGAGUGGCUCUUCCCCAAAUAUGAAAGAAAAUCAUCAAAUUAAAUUGAAGGCAAAACUAAGCUUCCACCACAAAGACAUAGCAGAUAGUUGCAAGGUGGAUUCCUUCGGGCCUUUUCCUUUCCUAAGGCUAAAACAAUGCUAAGACAAAAGUCUUCUUGCAGCUGUCUCCGCCCCUCCGAGAUAAAUACUUUCCCAAUUCUCCCCCACCCUGUACACACACCCACGCCCGCGGCAGCUGAUUUCUGUCUUCUGCAAUAGCUCGAUUUAAAUGCUUUGCUUUUACUCUUUAUUAUCACUAUUAUUUGUGUGAAGCCCUCUCGCCUGCUCCUGGUCACCAGCAGGAGCCUGCUUCCCUCCCUCCUUCCCCCCAAGCCUCUGGGCAGCAGAAGCUAGCUGGGAGCUCUGUGCAGCUGGCGGCGACGCCAUGUGACUGUGAGCCGAGCACCAUCACCCAGAGUCACUCUCUAGCUUUCCCCUAAUACACUUCACACCCACGCACUGUGGAGGUGCGAGAGAGGUUGCUCCGUGCGGUGCUAUUCGAGGCAGAUGCAGAGAGCGCCCUGGAGUAAGCUCUCCAAUCCUAGAGCUGCGCGGGACCCUGACUGAAGGCGGAGGGGGCGGGAGGGGGUGCUGUUGCUAUAUUUAGACUCCCUAUGGAGUUUCUGUGCAGGGACUUUCAGGGUGAAAGAUCUAGAGACUUAAAAUGACUCGUGUGCCCGCUUUAAACGUCAAAAUCUUGGCCUUUCUGCAAGCAGUAAAAUGAAAACCACUUCCUCUUAACUUAGCUGUUUUCCUUGUUGCAGACUGCUACUUUCGCUGGAAAUUAAUCAGAGAACCCAGGACAACGUCAGAGAUCAUAUGAGCCUCACCAGACUGCAUGAGAGUCAUAACACAGUAGGAGUCCCAGGCCUACCUCACAUGGCAAAUGGGACAGUGUUCUUCAGAACAACCUCUGCCCCAGGGAUGCAGAAAGGAGGAAAUUAAGAAAGCUUCUUUUACGAAGUUCUCAAAACUUAUUACUCUCUUC
rnacentral:lncRNA from 1 species